rnacentral:rRNA from 1 species
AGGAGAGUUUGAUCCUGGCUCAGGAUGAACGCUGGCGGCGUGCCUAACACAUGCAAGUCGAGCGGACCUUAGAGAGUGAACAGCUUGCUGGGAUCUCUCGAAAGGUUAGCGGCGGACGGGUGAGUAACGCGUGGGUAACCUGCCUCAUACAGGGGGAUAACAGUUAGAAAUGACUGCUAAUACCGCUAUAAGCGCACAAAGUCGCAUGAUUUUGUGUGAAAAGAUUUAUCGGUGUAAGAUGGACCCGCGUCUGAUUAGCUAGUUGGUGAGGUAACGGCCCACCAAGGCGACGAUCAGUAGCCGGCCUGAGAGGGUGAACGGCCACAUUGGGACUGAGACACGGCCCAAACUCCUACAGGAGGCAGCAGUAGGGAAUAUUGGACAAUGGGGGAAACCCUGAUCCAGCGACGCCGCGUGAGUGAAGAAGUAUUUCGGUACGUAAAGCUCUAUCAGCAGGGAAGAAAAUGACGGUACCUGACUAAGAAGCACCGGCUAAAUACGUGCCAGCAGCCGCGGUAAUACGUAUGGUGCAAGCGUUAUUCGGAUUUACUGGGUGUAAAGGGAGCGUAGACGGCAUAGCAAGUCUGAAGUGAAAUGCGGGGGCUCAACCCCUGAACUGCUUUGGAAACUGUUAAGCUGGAGUGUCGGAGAGGUUAGUGGAAUUCCUAGUGUAGCGGUGAAAUGCGUAGAUAUUAGGAGGAACACCGGUGGCGAAGGCGGCUAACUGGUCGAUAACUGACGUUGAGGCUCGAAAGCGUGGGGAGCAAACAGGAUUAGAUACCCUGGUAGUCCCCU